CCUCCUGUGAGGCCCUGCCAGGCAGUGGAGGGGACCCAGUAGGCAAGAACAAUUUCCAAGGGGAGUGUGGGUGGUUCCAGGUUUCACUUGGGCUCCACACAGGUAAAUCAGUGUUGGUCAAAUGAAUUUGGAGAAGCAAGGAGAAGUAACUGCCGGUGGCCCCAGGGUUUUGAACUAUUAGCCAGAGACAGAGUCUGCUAGACCCUACUCCAGUGAGGCAUGCUCUGAAGAUAGGCACAAGGCAUAUGCAUGCCUAUCUAGGAUUGCUCAAAAAUGAUGACUCAGCAAACAAAGACAGCAGUGUGAGUAAAUUGCUUGCUGUUCCACACACUGAAGUAGAAGGCAGAGGCUGAGUUGGGGAGUCUGAGAGCUGCCCAGUGACUUCAAUAGUGGCCAUCGCAGGAAUAGAAGACCAGAGUUUUCCCGGAGUGCAAAGUCCAACCCAGAAAGCAGCAGGAGCAAGGGGUUAGUUCCAGGAGCCCUCCCUGGGAUUUGGCUGACUGAGGGAGUCCAUACCAGAAGGAAGCUUUGUUUGUGUCAGCAUCUGUCUCAACAGUGUCCCCAGGCCUCACAGCUGGCCUGGCUAGGUAGCUCAUGGUCACAGAAGCUGCAGGGGUCUGGAUUUAGUGAUGGAGGACACAGGAUUGAGGAGGCAACCUGCGCUCAGG
rnacentral:lncRNA from 1 species